GACGAACGCUGGCGGCGUGCUUAACACAUGCAGGUCGAACGGAAAGGCCCCUUCGGGGGUACUCGAGUGGCGAACGGGUGAGUAACACGUGAGUAACCUGCCCUUGACUUCGGGAUAACUUCAGGAAACUGGGGCUAAUACCGGAUAGGAAUCCUUGCUGCAUGGUGGGGGUUGGAAAGCUUCGGCGGUUUUGGAUGGACUCGCGGCUUAUCAGCUUGUUGGUGGGGUAGUGGCUUACCAAGGCCUUGACGGGUAGCCGGCCUGAGAGGGCGACCGGCCACAUAGGGACUGAGAUACGGCGCAGACUCCUACGGGGGGCAGCAGUGGGGAAUAUUGCACAAUGGGCGGGAGCCUGAUGCAGCAACGCCGCGUGCGGGAUGACGGCCUUCGGGUUGUAAACCGCUUUCAGCAGGGGCGAAGCUUGUGGGGACGGUACCUGCAGAAGAAGCACCGGGUAACUACGUGC
rnacentral:rRNA from 1 species